CUCAGGAAUAAAUAGAGCAUGUAACUUCGAAAAUAGUUGGAGAACACAAAUGCGUGCCAGGGACUGUCCAUGGAGGCCACCCUCAGGAUACCUUUUCUUCACAGGGUCCUUAAGAAGGCGGCGAUGACGUGCGUUUCCGAGUGCCUUCCCACGUGUUCCCGGUUGAGGCUGCAGCUCUCUCACAGCUGACCCGGAUUAGAGAUGGCGUGUUGUCAGAGAAAGACAUUCCAUACAGGAGACACAGGGUGUGUAAUGAACAAGCACUGAAGGGGCCUCUCUUCAAUACUGGG